ACACUUUGGAAGCGCAUGUACUUAAACUGGAACUAUACAGAGAAGAUUAGCAUUGCCAUGGACUAGGAUGGCAUGCAAAUUCACCAGCACUCCAUAGUUUUC
rnacentral:snRNA from 1 species